rnacentral:rRNA from 1 species
GUCAACAUCCUUAACGAAUGUAAUCACGUUCUAACAUGUUGAACGUUAUCUUAGAUAACCGUAAGCACGCUUUCGGCACCUGAGCAAUUAUCAGAGGCCAGACGGAUACCCAAAGGGUAUUCGUUGCAAUCCUCAGUCUCAAUCACCACAGCUACCAGAGGCUAUAACACUUCAACCGAAAUCGAAGCUACAUUCCGCAGGUCAUUUUAUGAUAAUCGAAACUGACGUUACAUACAAUACGAAAAAGUACACCCAAAACGCACAAACAUGCAAACAGCGAACCGAAACUCACGCACGCCCACAAGUCGCACACGAUAAGUUGAUUUCUCGUCGUACGACUGACUUCAAUCGUUCCAUACAA